GGACAUCCAACUGAUCAAUGUCCUACACUCCAAGAAGACCCCCAACAAGUAAAUGCCAUUGGAGGGUACAAUAACCAACCCAGACAUGAUCCAUACUCAAACACAUAUAAUCCAGGUUGGAGAGACCACCCCAAUUUCAGUUAUGGAAGGGCCAACAACACCCAGAACUACCAAAGAAAUCAAGCCCAACCAGCACCUCAGAACUCCAAUGAGAGCCUUGAAAAGAUGAUGGAAACACUGAUAAACACCAUGCAAGGCGUGCGACAUGACCUAGAACAAAUGGCCACCUCUAUAAACAGACUCGAAACCCAAGGUAAGCUCCAUUCUCAAACUGAAACUAAUCCCAGACAGAAUGUCAGUGCUAUUACUUUGAGAAGUGGAAAAGAGCUUCAAGAUGCCAGAUAUGAGGAAGAAAGGCAAGUUGCACAAGACCCUGCCCCAUCUGAAACCACCCUUGCGCCAUCUGCGCAACCCCAUCUCCAUGAGCCAGCCUCUUCAGCGCAAUCUGAAACACCACCUGAGCAAAAGACUGAUCCAAAGUUACGUUUUCACAUUCCACCUCCUUUUCCAAAAAGAUUUGAAAGAACACAAAAAGAGAAGGAAGAAAAGGAGAUUCUUGAGACUUUUAGAAAAGUGAAAAUCAACAUACCACUGCUAGAUGCUGUUAAGCAAAUUCCAAGGUACGCAAAAUUUCUAAAAGAAUUGUGCACCAAUAGAAGAAAGCUAGCUGCAAGAGAAAAAGUAAGUGUAGGUGAGGUUGUCACAACUGUUAUUAAAAGAGAACUCCCUACUAAAUGCAAAGACAAAGGUAUGUUUGCAAUUUCUUGUAAGAUAGGAAAUGUUAGAAUCAAGAAAGCUAUGUGUGAUCUUGGUGCAUCUAUAAAUGUCAUGCCUCUCUCCAUCUAUAAAUCUCUGAAUGCAUGUGCACUGAAAGACACAAAAGUUGUGAUCCAACUAGCUGAUAGAUCUGUGGUAUAUCCAUUAGGUGUUCUAGAAGAUGUGUUAGUACAAGCAGAUGAACUUGUCUUUCCUGCAGAUUUUUAUGUGAUUGAUACUAAGGAAGACAGUUGUAAUGCUAGUUCUGAUAUCCUUCUUAGACAUCCUUUCUUGAGUACUGCUAGAACUAAAAUUGAUGUGCAUGAUGGUACUUUAACCAUGGAGUUUGAAGGAGAAGUGAUUAAAUACAAUGUCUAUGAUGCCAUGAAAUAUCCACAUGAUAUGUCCCCUGUUUAUGAUCUUGAUAUUGUUGACUGUUUGAGCCAGGAAAUUUUUGAUGAAAAUCAAGACGAUAUUCUUAACAAUGAUUUCUGCCAAGAAAAAGAUCAGGUAUAAAUUGAGAGCCGGAAAGAGACUGUCUGCAGCAUCCAGCAGAUUGAUGUUGCGCAAGCUGAUGCCAGCUUUCGGCUGCCGAAUCCAGUCCCCUUUCGGCCGCCGAACCCUACUGACUUGCAAACACCAAAUUCUACUUCGCAAACUAAGACCAACGCACUGAUUGAAGACACUUUUCGGCUGCCGAACUCAGUCACUUUUCGACAGCCGAACCUCUCACUUCAGUCCCCAGCGCAAGCCAGCUCUUCCAGUUCUCCUUUGCAAUCAAGCCAAGAGCAGCACCUUUCAGAAUCUGAAGAAUGUAAGGAUGACCUACUUGCAUAAAUCUUCCUUGCCCAAUCUGAUGAACCAUGGUACGUAGACAUGGUGAACUAAUUGGCUACAGGUAACUUACCUUCUGACAUGCCAAAGCACACUAAGGAUAAGAUAAAGAAAGAUGCCAAAUACUAUGUUUGGGAUGAACCAUAUUUGUGGAAACAUUGUGCUGACCAAAUGAUAAGGAGAUGUAUUCCUGACCAAGAAAUAGCUUUUGUGCUUACUUUUUGUCAUUCAUAUAGUUGUGGUGGACACUUUGGUCCAAGAAAGACUACUCAUAAGAUACUUGAAAGUGGCCUAUUUUGGCCCACCAUUUUUCGAGAUGCUUUUCUGUUUUGCAGAUCAUGUGCUAGGUGUCAACAAAUUGGAAAUCUAAGCAAAAGAAAUCAAAUGCCACAGAACCCCGUCAUGGUCUGUGAGGUGUUUGAUGUGUGGAGCAUAGACUUCAUGGGCCCAUUCCCACCAUCCUUUGGAUACACCUACAUCAUCCUUGCAGUGGAUUAUGUAUCCAAAUGGGUGGAAGCUAGAGCAACAAAGACUGAUGAUGCCAAGCCCGUAGUAGACUUUGUGAAGACUCACAUCUUUGCCAGACAUGGAGUACCAAAGGCAAUCAUCAGUGAUAGAGGGACCCAUUUUUACAACAAGGUAGUGGAAAGCCUCCUCAGGAAACACAAUGUGAUCCAUAGAACAUCCACAGCCUACCACCCUCAAAUAAAUGGACAAGCUGAAGUAUCCAAUAGAGAAAUCAAGGCCAUCCUUGAGAAGACAGUCUCCCCUAACCGAAAGGAUUGGAGUGCCAGACUAGAAUAUGCUUUAUGGGCCUACCGAACAGCUUACAAAACUCCCAUAGGUAUGUCUCCUUACAGAUUGGUCUAUGGGAAAGCUUGUCACCUUCCAGUUGAGCUUGAACACAAGGCAUAUUGGGCUGUAAAGAAUUGCAACAUGGACCUUAAGGAAGCUGGACACCACCUCAAGUUGCAACUGCAAGAGCUAGAGGAAAUAAGACGAGAUGCAUAUGAGAAUUCUUGGAACUAUAAAGCAAAAACCAAAGCCUCCCAUGACAGUCAUCUUUCCAGAAAACAAUUUGAGGUUGGUGAUAAAGUCUUACUCUUUGACUCCCGUUUGAAAUUAUUUCCAGGAAAGCUACGGUCUAGGUGGAUUGGACCAUUCAUUGUGGAACAUGCCUAUCCCCAUGGAGCUGUAGACAUCAAAAGCAUAGAAACUGGAAAGAUCUUCAAAGUAAAUGGGCAUCGACUGAAGCCAUACUAUGAAGGAUUCGCAGUGCAAGUAGUGGAAGAAAUUCCACUCACUCACUCUGCCUAAGUGAUCAUGCUAUGCACACCACACCCCAGGGGAGUAUUCAAAUUCCUUUGUUCUCUUCUUUUCUUUUACAUUGAGGACAAUGCAUGAUUUAAGUGUGGGGGUGCAUACUUCUUUCUUCUUUUUCUCCUCUUCUUCUUCUUCUUCUCCCUUCUUCCUAUCUUCUUCUGCGAAUUCACAAUGCUUUCAGAUUGCGAAAAUUUUUUCUUUUCCUUUCAGUUUUGUGUUUCUUUCAGUUUAAAUAGCCACAGUUGAAAAUUUUUUUUCAUUUUAGUUUGUUUAUGCUUUCAAUAAUACACACACAACCACAACCUUCCUCUUCUUUUUAUUUUGCUCUUCUCAAACUGAUGAACUAUGUUAGAUGAGUUUUUCUUUUCAUGACCCCAUUGAUGUAAUGACUCUUUAAACUUAUGUUGAAUCAAUUGCAGUGAGUUAUAUUCAUGUUUGAGAAUUGCCUUUUGAAUUGAAUCUUUGAGUUUGUCAUGGUGAAAAAUAUAUUGAUGACCCUCAAUUGAUGAGAAUAAAUCGAAAGUUGUGUGAAUGAACUUAAUGUGACUUGAUUUAGCAAUUGGUGUUGAUUUGCCCAAAUCAUUGAGAGAAAGAAAAUUCAGCAAAGGCAAAGACCUCAAAAGCACAAAAUCAAAAAAACUGUUCCAAUGGUCAAAAGACUAAGAACAAAGCUAGUAGCCACUUGGAGAGGUGACCAACUGAGUAACUGUGGGUGGGUAUCACAAAUAUGUACCUUCACGUCAAAAGUUUGGUGACUUUUUCAAGGAAAAUCUAAGUGCAAAAGCCUGAAUAAAGUACUUCAACGUAAGGGCAAGUCACUCCGAAAGCUAGAAAAGGUCUUAACAAAAAUGUGCAUGUAUGGUCUCUCUUGAGGAAAACAAAUCCUAGCCAUGGUAAGUAAAGGGAAACAAGGAAAGAAGGUAAGUAAUCUUCAUGUAUAUAUUCUUCACUGCAAUGAUUCAAAUUAGGUAUCUAGAGUAAGAGCUUAAGUGGAAAUAAGGAUCUAGAGCAAAGAAAACUUAUUUGACUAUGUUUAUUUACUUGAGGACAAGCAAAAGGCUAAGUGUGGGGGUAUUUGAUAGAGCAUAUUUUAGUCCAUAUUAUCAUGAUCUUAUUGAUGUCUAUUUACAUCUUUUCCACCUAAUUUUGGGGUUUUAAUCAUGUUUUGCAGGUAUUAGGUGUAAAGAGACAAUCCGGAGAAAAUGCUCUUAAAAAUGCCAAAAAGUGCUAAAAACAGAAAAGUCACCUUCGGAAGCACCUUCGGAAGCACUUUCAGAAGCCGAAAGUCACCCAUCUUCGGAAGCACUUUCGAAAGCCGAAAGUCUGGUCCAGAGCUGAAAGUCACCCACCUUCGGAGGCACCUUCGGCCGCCGAACCUUCACUCCAGAGCCAAAAGUCCAGCUUCCGAAACUAAUCUUAGGCAGCCGAAAGUCCCCCUGAACAGCCUCUUCCUUAUUCAAGAAGCCAAAUCUUGAAGAUCACAUGUUUUCCACUUCAUGCCAUGCACAUUCAAAAUUCAAAACAAGGCUCCACCUUCCUCUUUAGCGCAUGAAUAAUGUGAAGAAGACUUCUUGGACACACUUGGGCAGCAAUUAAAAGACCAAAAAGCCCCUCUCUUGCCUUCACAUGCACAUAUUGCACCAAGAGCACUUUGGGCAGCCUCCAAAAGAUGCAUGGACAUCCAAGAAACCCUAGGCAGCCUUCCAAGCCCUAUUUAAAGGUCUUAAGAAGACAAGAAGAGGCAGAUUUUGAUCCACACAACUCCUCCAAGGUUCGGCCAAGGCUCUCCAAGGCUUCUCCCCUUUGGUUCUUCAUCUUCUUGCUUUCUUUUCUCUUAUUUUCUGUUUUGGUUCAGCCAUGAUUGGCUGAAACCCUUAUUCUAGUUGAAGUUUGGUUGAAACUGAGGUUGUUUAAAGGGUUGUGAGAUCUGAACAUAAAGUGUUUGCUUUUGAUUUGUUCAAUAUUCAUACAAUUGUGUGCUUAAUUCUAAGAUUGCUUUGUUGUUUUGAUCAAAUUGGCCACUUGAUUCUUGAUUGCAAAGUUAAUUGAUUGUUAGUUGGGAUAUUUUUUAGUCUGUAAUUGCUGGAAAUAUUCUGACCUAAGAACACUUGGUGUAAAAACUAAGGAAUUGUAUGAUCUAGCAACAUCUCAUGCGUUUGAGUAGCUAGGGUUGGAUCUCUCUCAUUCUUCAUGCAAUUGACAAUUGUUUUGAUGCCUAAGGUCCAAGGACGUUCCUUGGCAAUUUGUUAAUUAGUAAUUGAUUAGAGGACGUUCCCUAAUUGAUUUAAUCAUAAGGAGAGACAUGGUGGUGAGAAGCGUUUUCCAUCCCCAUAACCAAUCUAUUGAACUAAUUAAGAGAACAUAAGUUUCAAUGAUCAACCCAAAUAACCAAAGUGGAUCCAUAUCUUCAACUAGACUUUUCUCAUAUUGAUUUCCUCUUUUAUUUUAAUUACUUGCUGUUUUAAUUGCUUUCAAUAGUUGUUAGUCAAAUAAUCUCAAAACCCCCCUUUUUACUUUUAUUGCACUUUACUUUCAUUCAACUUUCAAUUACUUGCUUUCAAUUGUGUUUUCACUUAGUUCUCUUGGUCUUGAUUGAAAAAAAUAAACAAGUAAUCAAUUCUCUGUGGAUUCGAUCCUUCACCACUAUCUGCAGUUGUAAAUUGUUGAUAACCAAGAAGGUUAUUUUUGACCGGCUUCGACAACCGCGAGUCAAAAAUUGGCGCCGUUGCCAGGGAAUUGAUUUUACUUGUUUAUUUUCCUUUCAUGACAAGAUCUGAAAGCAGGGACACACUGCCCUUUGAUCCAGAAAUUGAACGCACUCUCAGAAGGCUAGAAAAGCAAGCCUCUGUGCCUGAAGAGCAUUCUGCCCAACCUUCGGCCGCCGAAACCCAUCAACCUUCGGCCGCCGAACUUGCUUCACUCCAAUAAUCGAAUUUUGCACAAAUGGCAGAACCUAAUGCACAAGCUGUUGCCCCCAAUGGACAUGCUGUCCAGAACCAAAUAAUCCAAGAACAUCCAGCCAUAAGACCACAAGAGCCAAGAGAAAGAACCAUGAGAGAAUUGGCAACACCUGUGGGUGAUCAAGCACCACUUUGCAUUACCUACCCCCCUCUUACAGUUCCCUUUGAACUGAAAACAGAUUUGAUUCAUCUUCUUCCUAAAUUUAGAGGUAGAGAGAAUGAAAAUCCACAUAAACACUUGAAAGAAUUCAACAUUGUCUGUUCAUCUAUGAGACCUCAAGGUAUAUCUGAAGAUCAUGUUAAAUUAAGAGCUUUUCCCUUUUCAUUAGAUGACUUUGCUAAAGAUUGGUUAUUUUAUUUGCCACCUGGAUCUAUAACUUCUCGGGAUGAUAUGGUCCAAACCUUUCUGGACAAAUACUUCCCACCAUCUAAAUCAAUUGGCAUAAUAAGAGAAAUUACUAGAAUAAGACAGAAACAAACUGAGGACUUAUAUGAUUAUUGAGAAAGGUUUGAAAGACUAUGUACAGGUUGUCCACAACAUGAUAUAUCAGACAGGUCUCUCAUACAGUUCUUCUAUGGAGGAUUGCUGCCAUCAGAAAGAAAAUUCAUAAAUGUAGCUUGUGGAGGAUCCAUUGCAGACAAGACACCAAGGGAGAUGAGAGAGUUGAUAUAUACCCUUGCAGCCUCAUCUAGGCAAUAUGGAGAAGAAAAACAACUGCAAAGAGCCAAUGAGGUAAGUUCAUCCACUAUUUCUAAACUGACAUCUGUGAUGAAAGGUUUUGCCAUAGAACUGGCUCAACAAAUACAAGCAACCCAGCCACCUAGGCCAUGUGGGAUCUGUUUAUAUGUAGGACAUCCAACUGAUUAAUUUCCUACACUCCAAGAAGACCCCCAGCAAGUAAAUGCCAUUGGAGGGUACAAUAACCAGCCCAGACAUGAUCCAUACUCAAACACAUAUAAUCCAGGUUGGAGAGACCACCCCAAUUUCAGCUAUGGAAGGGCCAACAACACCCAGAACUACCAAAGAAAUCAAGCCCAACCAGCACCUCAGAACUCCAACGAGAGCCUUGAAAAGAUGAUGGAAACACUGAUAAACACCAUGCAAGGCGUGCGACAAGAC
rnacentral:lncRNA from 1 species